UCUCUGCCCCUCCCCCGCUCACGCCCUGUCUCUCUCUCUCUCACUCUCUUUCUCAAAAAUAGAGAAACAUCAAAAAAUUUUUGAAAACAUUGUCUCCUCAGCCCCGCUGUAUCACUUAGUCCUCCCAAAAUCCGCAAGCGAGAAGCAGACUAUUGAGCCCAUUUUCCAGAUGAGAAUCCUGAGUCCACAAGCGCGGUUUCUUGGCCCCUCUGAACAUGGCCAGGGUGGUUCCUGUUGGUACAUCCACAUCCUGAGCCUGGAGUGACCUGCUCUCUUCCUGGGCAACUUCAGUCCCUACCUUGGCCUCGGGUAGCUGGAGAGGUAAGGAAUCUCAACAGCUCUCCUGGGGAAGAUUCAGCUCAAAUUCGCAAUUACAGAGGGCUUCUCCGGGGUCCAGCGCAUUGUCAGGCAACUGGGUAUCAUGAAAAGAACACUAGCUUUGGAAACCCAGUCCCUGCCCUACUUUUUAACGGCUGUACCAUCUCGCCCAAGAUACCUGACCUCUCCAGCCCGAGUUUGCCCAUCUAAGAACGGAGGGUGAUGACGUCUAUCUCACAGGCUCAUGAGGACACGGUGUGAAAAACGUCUUGGAUGCGCAGCAGGAGCAUAAUGCAUGCGAUUAGUACUGUACGUGUUUGGUACCUGGUAUCUCAUUUAAAACAUCACAAUAAUUCUGCAAGUUAGGUUAUGUGCUCGCGUACAGAGGCCGAGGACCUUACUCACGACAAUACGACGAGGUCAAACCCGGGGGUCCUUGUCCAGGGCUGGCACUGCUUCCUCUGCCCUGCCCACUAGAGGCCCUAGGACAAUCGUGGACUCCCUUCGACCACGGGGGUGUGUAGCAUCCAGUGCUGCCCACAGCUCGAGUUCCAGGGAGCCGUUUGUAAAGCGAAAGCCCACGGUAGGACCACCUGCUUCGAACCAGGAGCUUCCUAAAAGCAUGCAAAAUUCUAAUGAACUCAGGGAAGGCGAGGGUCUGCUGAUGCUGAGCACGCAGUGAGGUCGGGAAGGAUUGGGAGCAGCGACCGACUGUGUGGUCUGGGGCAGGUCGCCGCAGGAAGUCGUGGGGUGCCCACAAACGGACCACCUGUGCCAAGUCCCCAGAAGGAGACCUCAUGGGGGUGCCCUGCGAGUUGGGUGACUGGAGAGAUAGUCCUAACUGAUGGGGCUCCAGGUCCUUUCUGAGAGCUCUGAGAGGCCACGAGAUGCAGAAAAUACUAUGAGAUGAGGGAGCAGAACUUCCUGAGUUGGCCAGAGUCCCAGAGUGGACCCCAAAGCCUAGAGGUGUACAGGAUGGGGAAGGCAGUCAGGACAACAGGACGGUCUGGACUCACCUGGAUGUUGGCAGAGAAGGACAAGGAUGAAGCAUGCUAGGUGCCUUCUGCCUUCAGUGUUGGUGUUCCAACACCCCCCACCACCCCCAACACCACUACAGAGAAGGCACCUCACCUGCCCCC